GUAGGAGUGAGCCUGCUCGCGAUGGCGGUGUGUCAGUCAACUCAUAUGCUGGCUGAUACGCCGCUAUCGCGAGCAGGCUCACUCCUAC
rnacentral:misc_RNA from 1 species